GGUGGCUCAGUGGUAGAGUGCUUGCUUUGUAUGCAUAAAGCCCUGGGUUCGAUUCCUCAGCACCA
rnacentral:tRNA from 1 species